rfam:Camelus ferus unplaced genomic scaffold scaffold840, whole genome shotgun sequence.
GGAGGUGUAGCUCAAGUGGUAGAGCCCCUGCUUAGCACGCUUAGCAUGGAAGGUCCUAGGUUCAAGUCCCAGUACCUCCU